rnacentral:rRNA from 1 species
ACGGAGGGUGCAAGCGUUAUCCGGAUUUACUGGGUUUAAAGGGUGCGUAGGUGGGUCUGUAAGUCAGUGGUGAAAUCUCCGGGCUUAACCCGGAAAUUGCCAUUGAUACUAUAGGUCUUGAAUCAUCUGGAGGUAAGCGGAAUAUGUCAUGUAGCGGUGAAAUGCUUAGAUAUGACAUAGAACACCAAUUGCGAAGGCAGCUUACUGCGGAUGUAUUGACACUGAGGCACGAAAGCGUGGGGAUCAACCAGGAUUAGAUACCCUGGUAGUCCACGCCCUAAACUAUGGAUACUCGACAUCAGCGAUACACAGUUGGUGUCUGAGCGAAAGCAUUAAGUAUCCCACCUGGGAAGUACGACCGCAAGGUUG